rnacentral:snRNA from 1 species
AAAAUUUUUCGAAAGAAAGAAAAAAUCUGUUCUUAUCAGUUUAAUAUCUGAUACGUCCCCUACCCGGGGACUACAUAUUAAAUUGAUUUUUGGAUCACGGAGCUGGAGCCGGGGCUUGCUCUGUCCACUCCACGCAUCGGCCUGGUAUUGCAGUGUUUCCAGGAACGGUGUGACGACG